rnacentral:tRNA from 1 species
GGGCAAGUGGCGGAAUUGGUAUACGCGCCGGUCUUAGGAACCGGUUCUUCACGGAUUAAGAGUUCGAGUCUCUUCUUGCCCACCA